UACGUAAGGUGCAAGCGUUGCUCGGAAUCAUUGGGCGGAAAGCGCGUGUAGGCGGCCUACUAAGGCUGAUGUGAAAGCCCGGGGCUCAACCCCGGAAGUGCAUUGGAUACUGGUUGGCUAGAGGGCGAGAGAGGGAAGUGGAAUUCCUGGUGUAGGGGUGGAAUCCGUAGAUAUCAGGAGGAACAUCGGUGGCGAAGGCGGCUUCCUGGCUCGUUUCUGACGCUCAGACGCGAAAGCGUGGGUAGCAAACAGG
rnacentral:rRNA from 1 species